AAACAAAAAGGGAACUGUAGUUCGAUAGUUCAUCUUGCAGCCUGCAGUGGGGAUACAGAUGCUGUAAUCCCAUAGGUUCUGACUCUCCAGUACUCCUGCCCUACUGCAGCACAUGACCAGCCUUCAGCCAGUUGCUUGGGCACAGCUCUUGGUUGUCAGAAGGAGGCCAGUGGUAUCUUCUAGCAAUUGGGAACUGGAGUUUUCCAGGAUAGCAGCUCAAGGUGGAAUGAGGCAGCUUUCUCUAAGUGAAAGACGUCCUUUGAAAGGCUGACCUUGAAUUCAAAUACAGAAAAGGAAGUCAAACCACUCAGGAAUACUGUGAGGCAAAACUAACAAAUUUGAAUCCUGACUUCAUGAGCGACAACCACUGAAACUGAUAACAAACCAAAACUGUGAGUAUUCAAGGUUUCCUUGGAAUUGCAUGUCUCUGGCUUGUUGGUUGUUUUUUUUAUUUUUGGAUCAUAACAUUAUAGUUGAAAUCAUUCAUUGUGAUAGUGUUCCUGUCAGAGCUGUAACUGGUUUGCUUUGCCAGGCUCAUUUUGAUGAAGUGUGAAACAAAUCUCAAUGAUAGUUCUCACAAUGAAGAUACAUCUCUCAGUCAACCUUAC
rnacentral:lncRNA from 1 species